rnacentral:tRNA from 1 species
UGUGCUCAUAGCUCAACUGGAUAGAGUACUUGACUACGAAUCAAGGGGUUGUGGGUUCGAGUCCCGCUGGGCGCAU